CGUACACUCCUGCGGGAGGCAGCAGUGAGGAAUAUUGGACAAUGGGUGGAAGCCUGAUCCAGCCAUCCCGCGUGCAGGAAGACGGCCCUAUGGGUUGUAAACUGCUUUUAUCUGGGGAUAAACCUACUUACGUGUAAGUAGCUGAAGGUACCAGAAGAAUAAGCACCGGCUAACUCCGUGCCAGCAGCCGCGGUAAUACGGAGGGUGCAAGCGUUAUCCGGAUUUAUUGGGUUUAAAGGGUCCGUAGGCGGACUGAUAAGUCAGUGGUGAAAUCCGACAGCUUAACUGUCGAACUGCCAUUGAUACUGUUAGUCUUGAGUAAGGUUGAAGUGGCUGGAAUAAGUAGUGUAGCGGUGAAAUGCAUAGAUAUUACUUAGAACACCAAUUGCGAAGGCAGGUCACUAAGUCUUAACUGACGCUGAUGGACGAAAGCGUGGGGAGCGAACAGGAUUAGAAACCCCAGUAGUCCC
rnacentral:rRNA from 1 species